GCAAAACACUUCAUGCCAGAACUCGACUCAUGCAAGAGGGUUGAAGUUUCUGGCAUAUUGAUUCCCUAAAAAACCAUUUCCGGGAAAUCUCACCAGAUUUCGACGCCUCUGAUGACUUCACUUCCAGCUCUGAAUGAUCAGUUCUGUUUUGGACUCAGUCUUGUGAACAUCUCUGU